rnacentral:rRNA from 1 species
UAGGGCGGGACACGUGGUAUCCUGUCUGAAUAUGGGGGGACCAUCCUCCAAGGCUAAAUACUCCUGACUGACCGAUAGUGAACCAGUACCGUGAGGGAAAGGCGAAAAGAACCCCGGCGAGGGGAGUGAAAAAGAACCUGAAACCGUGUACGUACAAGCAGUGGGAGCACGCUUAGGCGUGUGACUGCGUACCUUUUGUAUAAUGGGUCAGCGACUUAUAUUCUGUAGCAAGGUUAACCGAAUAGGGGAGCCGAAGGGAAACCGAGUCUUAACUGGGCGUUAAGUUGCAGGGUAUAGACCCGAAACCCGGUGAUCUAGCCAUGGGCAGGUUGAAGGUUGGGUAACACUAACUGGAGGACCGAACCGACUAAUGUUGAAAAAUUAGCGGAUGACUUGUGGCUGGGGGUGAAAGGCCAAUCAAACCGGGAGAUAGCUGGUUCUCCCCGAAAGCUAUUUAGGUAGCGCCUCGUGAAUUCAUCUCCGGGGGUAGAGCACUGUUUCGGCAAGGGGGUCAUCCCGACUUACCAACCCGAUGCAAACUGCGAAUACCGGAGAAUGUUAUCACGGGAGACACACGGCGGGUGCUAACGUCCGUCGUGAAGAGGGAAACAACCCAGACCGCCAGCUAAGGUCCCAAAGUCAUGGUUAAGUGGGAAACGAUGUGGGAAGGCCCAGACAGCCAGGAUGUUGGCUUAGAAGCAGCCAUCAUUUAAAGAAAGCGUAAUAGCUCACUGGUCGAGUCGGCCUGCGCGGAAGAUGUAACGGGGCUAAACCAUGCACCGAAGCUGCGGCAGCGACGCUGAUGCGUUGUUGGGUAGGGGAGCGUUCUGUAAGCCUGUGAAGGUGUGCUGUGAGGUAUGCUGGAGGUAUCAGAAGUGCGAAUGCUGACAUAAGUAACGAUAAAGCGGGUGAAAAGCCCGCUCGCCGGAAGACCAAGGGUUCCUGUCCAACGUUAAUCGGGGCAGGGUGAGUCGACCCCUAAGGCGAGGCCGAAAGGCGUAGUCGAUGGGAAACAGGUUAAUAUUCCUGUACUUGGUGUUACUGCGAAGGGGGGACGGAGAAGGCUAUGUUGGCCGGGCGACGGUUGUCCCGGUUUAAGCGUGUAGGCUGGUUUUCCAGGCAAAUCCGGAAAACUAAGGCUGAGGCGUGAUGACGAGGCACUACGGUGCUGAAGCAACAAAUGCCCUGCUUCCAGGAAAAGCCUCUAAGCAUCAGGUAACAUCAAAUCGUACCCCAAACCGACACAGGUGGUCAGGUAGAGAAUACCAAGGCGCUUGAGAGAACUCGGGUGAAGGAACUAGGCAAAAUGGUGCCGUAACUUCGGGAGAAGGCACGCUGAUAUGUAGGUGAAGUCCCUCGCGGAUGGAGCUGAAAUCAGUCGAAGAUACCAGCUGGCUGCAACUGUUUAUUAAAAACACAGCACUGUGCAAACACGAAAGUGGACGUAUACGGUGUGACGCCUGCCCGGUGCCGGAAGGUUAAUUGAUGGGGUCAGCGCAAGCGAAGCUCUUGAUCGAAGCCCCGGUAAACGGCGGCCGUAACUAUAACGGUCCUAAGGUAGCGAAAUUCCUUGUCGGGUAAGUUCCGACCUGCACGAAUGGCGUAAUGAUGGCCAGGCUGUCUCCACCCGAGACUCAGUGAAAUUGAACUCGCUGUGAAGAUGCAGUGUACCCGCGGCAAGACGGAAAGACCCCGUGAACCUUUACUAUAGCUUGACACUGAACAUUGAGCCUUGAUGUGUAGGAUAGGUGGGAGGCUUUGAAGUGUGGACGCCAGUCUGCAUGGAGCCGACCUUGAAAUACCACCCUUUAAUGUUUGAUGUUCUAACGUUGACCCGUAAUCCGGGUUGCGGACAGUGUCUGGUGGGUAGUUUGACUGGGGCGGUCUCCUCCUAAAGAGUAACGGAGGAGCACGAAGGUUGGCUAAUCCUGGUCGGACAUCAGGAGGUUAGUGCAAUGGCAUAAGCCAGCUUGACUGCGAGCGUGACGGCGCGAGCAGGUGCGAAAGCAGGUCAUAGUGAUCCGGUGGUUCUGAAUGGAAGGGCCAUCGCUCAACGGAUAAAAGGUACUCCGGGGAUAACAGGCUGAUACCGCCCAAGAGUUCAUAUCGACGGCGGUGUUUGGCACCUCGAUGUCGGCUCAUCACAUCCUGGGGCUGAAGUAGGUCCCAAGGGUAUGGCUGUUCGCCAUUUAAAGUGGUACGCGAGCUGGGUUUAGAACGUCGUGAGACAGUUCGGUCCCUAUCUGCCGUGGGCGCUGGAGAACUGAGGGGGGCUGCUCCUAGUACGAGAGGACCGGAGUGGACGCAUCACUGGUGUUCGGGUUGUCAUGCCAAUGGCACUGCCCGGUAGCUAAAUGCGGAAGAGAUAAGUGCUGAAAGCAUCUAAGCACGAAACUUGCCCCGAGAUGAGUUCUCCCUGACUCCUUGAGAGUCCUGAAGGAACGUUGAAGACGACGACGUUGAUAGGCCGGGUGUGUAAGCGCAGCGAUGCGUUGAGCUAACCGGUACUAAUGAACCGUGAGGCUUAACCUUACAACGCCGAAGGUGUUU